rfam:Hordeum vulgare subsp. vulgare, WGS project CAJW01000000 data, contig: morex_contig_60384
UUUGAUGAGAUGAGCUGCAACACUUGACAAGAUCUGACCGAUGAAUUGCUUGUUUAGUGGAAUAUUCUUCUACGCUUGUCUUGUGAGCUUU